UUAGGUGUGAGGCUCAGUGGUAGGGUGCAUGCUUAACAUGCACAAAGUCUUGAGUUCCAUUCCCAGCACCAAAA
rnacentral:tRNA from 1 species